CUGUGUUGGUGAAUGGUAUCGCAAUAGGAACCAGGAACGACAAAUUCUCCAACGUAUAAUAUAACUUCUUAGCUCGUUGCAUGUUUAUAGGUGUCAUUUUAGAUUGACACCAGAUCAUAUUAUACACAACAUUAUCGAUAAAUAGAGAGAGAGCAGUGUGAUAAUGUGACAGUAUGCAUUAAUAGUAAUCAGCUGACAAAUUGAAC